GUUUUUUCUAAUGUCUUAAAAAUAAGUGUUUUCUUGUGUUUAAGGCAUAUUUUUUAUGUUUAAACUUAUCUCAAACUUACAGAUCUGUCUGCUUGUAAAUCUGAAAUGAUUGUAUGUUUUCUCUGUGCUUAGAUUUUUUUUCCUAAACAUCCCAAGAUAAAAUGAACUACAAAUGUCACAACACAUACAAGGACACCCACCGGAUACAUGGGUUUGCUGCCAUGCGCAUUUUACCGAGAGCUCUAUCGAGAGAAGAACAAAACCCCUGCAAAGAUCUAAGCAGGUGACCUGCACCAAAAGUUAUUUGACACAUUGGUAAAGAAGAAACACUGAAAGUAACUGGAUCCAGUUUUUGUGAUAUCUCUGCCUGCCCAGCCCCAUGAACAAAAUAUUUUUCUACAAAAAAGUAUUGCCAGCUCAUUAUAUAUGUUCAGCUAAAAAAAAAAGGAGUCGGAGAAAGCGAUUUGAAGACUUCUGUUUCAUCUGUGUGAAAAUCCGUGCAAAACAAUAUGACUUAGUUAAUUCUUAACAAGGUAGCUGACUUCAUUGAGCAAGGUAUCCAUAUGGGAUGCGCUUCUGAGGAUAUACCCAAUUAGCUCUGCUGCUGCAACCAAUGUUUAUGGACAUAAAUUCAUGGAUCCCGAGCCUGUUGCUGCCACUGUGUAAGGAGAUUGUUUAUCACUGAAGUUUUGGACAGUCACAGAAGCCUGGUUGUAUAAUUAAAGUUGUAGCAUCUGCACAAUAGUUAUAUACUUAAAAUUACUGUGCCUCAGUAUUACCUCCCUUUACUGAUCUUCAGACGAGCGCAAAAUGAAAUUCAAAAUACAAGCAGUUCAGGCAAAAAUUCCAGUGAGGCCCAUAAAGAGUACAGGAUACUGCAGGGUUUCUAGUGCAAGGGCAGGACUACACUAUUUUUCCGAUCUCAGAAAUGUUGUAAGAGGUAUCUUAAUAUUAUGCAAUGGGAAGGGACUUACUUAUAUCUAUGUGGAGAAAAUGAAAUGAUGCAUAAGUAGUUAGCCUCUGCAGAAGAAGAGACACAGGUUGUAAACCCUUUGGAAAGCCCUUCUCCCAUGCCACCAAGUCAUUGAAAUCAUUGAAAUUGAGUAUUCUUUGGGGAAUAUUAGAGCUGCAAAAACUAGCCUGGCCAUAACUUUAUGUAAGGGAUAAAUUAAAUACAACUAUUAACUCUUGACUCUUUGGAAAGUAAAGGCCGAGUUUGCAUUGGCAAGGUUGAACUGGAUGAUUUCUUUUGGAAAAACACUUGGAUCCUUUUUUUCACA